CCUACGGGUGGCAGCAGUGGGGAAUAUUGCACAAUGGGGGAAACCCUGAUGCAGCAACGCCGCGUGAGUGAAGAAGUAUUUCGGUAUGUAAAGCUCUAUUAGCAGGGAAGAAGAUGACGGUACCUGAGUAAGAAGCCCCGGCUAACUACGUGCCAGCAGCCGCGGUAAUACGUAGGGGGCAAGCGUUAUCCGGAUUUACUGGGUGUAAAGGGAGCUUUGAGGGUGAUACAAGAUUGAGGUGAAAGGCCGGGGCUCAACCCUGGGACUGCUUUGGAAACUGCCUGACUGGAGUGCGGGAGAGGCAAGCGGAAUGCCUAGUGUAGCGGUGAAAUGCGUAGAUAUUAGGAAGAACACCAGUGGCGAAGGCAGCUUGCUGGACAGUAACUGACGUUGAGGCUCGAAAGCGUGGGGAGCAAACAGGAUUAGAUACCCGGGUAGUC
rnacentral:rRNA from 1 species